UUCUAGUCUUUGAGCUGUUAAUUUAAGUUAUUUUCUUUCUAAGCAUACAUUUUCAUAAAAAAAGUAAAUUUCUCUGUUACUACGUUACAUUAUGUGAACAUAUUAGUACCUUUUAGCUUUUCUACCUACACAGGAAAAAUGAGAGUACUUUUUUCGGAGUUACCAUCAGUAAUUUUUGUUUAAGUAGGUGUAAAAACGUAGAGGAAAUAUGUUGGAGUAAACCAGCGAGACCACGCCCACUCUACUUUCUUAAGUUUCGUUUCUUCCGCCAUUUUGUUAUCCCGCAGCGGCCGGAGGAAGAUAGAGGCUGUGACUGAGGAAAGAUGCAAGCUGUGCGUGAACAUGUCGAACGCC